GCGGGUGUGGCGAAACUGGCAGACGCACUGGAUUUAGGUUCCAGCGCCGCAAGGCAUGGGGGUUCAAGUCCCUUCACCCGCACCA
rnacentral:tRNA from 1 species